ensembl:lncRNA
GGACGUAGCUCAGUCCGUACAGUGGGUAGACAGUGUUUACCCAACACGCAUUAAGCACUGUAUAAACAGGACAUGGUUGUAGGCACGUGAAACCUCAGUGCUUGAGAGCUGGAGACAGGAGGAUCAGGAAUUCAAAGUCAUCGUUGGCUACAAGCAAGUUUGAGAACAGCCGAAACGCCACAAGACCGACACGGAGUUCCUCAGCAGGCGGUGGAAGGAUGGCUACUCAUACCCUCACUGGCCCACAUGGGACUGUGACAGGCACAGGCGGCUGCGAUAGGCACCAGGUCCUGGUCUGAAGAGGGCAGCAUAAGUCUCUUCCCUCUUUCGGAACACGUCUCUGCAAGAAUAAACCCGAGGCAUCUCACAGUCCUGAGCGCCCACCAGCUGACCAGAAGUCAUGAAGCAGUAGCUCCAGGUGGCCAGUCCCAUCCAACCAUUUGCCUCCAAGUCCAGAGCUUCUCAGGAUGCCAGGUUCUCUCCUCCAGCCCCGAACCACAGGCCCACCUGGCCUUAGCUGGCAACCAGGAUGAUGACCACAGGUAAUGACUCAUUUUUACAUGACCACGCUCUUUUAAAGAGGGAUGGGGAACUUUUUGCCAGCCUAAAAUACCUCACACCGCCAGAGCAUACAGACCUACGCCUCUCCAGACCUCAUUCUGUUUGUUUAAAGGUUUAUUUAGCUAACUGUUUUUGUUUGAGACAUGAUCUCGCUGUGUAGACAACCUUAAA